AUGACCUCGGAUCAKGUAGGGAUACCCGCUGAACUUAAGCAUAUCAAUAAGCGGAGGAAAAGAAACCAACAGGGAUUACCUCAGUAACGGCGAGUGAAUCGGCAUAUUUACGG
rnacentral:rRNA from 1 species